CUCCUCUCAGGGCCACACCUGGAGAGUUUCCAGUCCUCUACCAGUUGGGCUAUGAGAGGGAGAGUCAACAGAGGCCUUCCCAUUCCAUUCCUAGCUUGGCCAGUGGCUAGUGAGUGGAAGGCCUUCUGCUACAAGU
rnacentral:snoRNA from 2 species